GCUUUUCAGUAGUUUACUACAGAAAAUGACUGAGCGGCGAACGGGUGAGUAACGCGUGAGCAAUCUACCUUAGUUACUGGGAUAGCCCGAGGAAACUCGGAUUAAUACCGGAUAUUCUUAUUUUUUCACAUGAAGUUUUAAGGAAAGGUCAGCCGAACUAAGAUGAGCUCGCGUUCUAUCAGCUAGUUGGUGGGGUAAAAGCCUACCAAGGCUACGACGGAUAGCUGGUCUGAGAGGACGAUCAGCCACACUGGGACUGAGACACGGCCCAGACUCCUACGGGAGGCUGCAGCAGGGAAUAUUGCGCAAUGAGCGAAAGCUUGACGCAGCGACACCGCGUGUGGGAUGACGGUUCUAGGAUUGUAAACCACUUUCAGGAGGGAAGAAAAUGACGGUACCUCCACAAGAAGACCCGGCCAACUACGUGCCAGCAGCCGCGGUAAUACGUAGGGGUCAAGCGUUGUCCGGAUUUAUUGGGCGUAAAGAGCUCGUAGGCGGUUCAACAAGUCGGUCGUAAAAGUUUAGGGCUCAACCCUAAAAUGUCGAUCGAUACUGUUGUGACUAGGAUACGGUAGAGGUGAAUGGAAUUCCGAGUGUAGCGGUGAAAUGCGUAGAUAUUCGGAGGAACACCAAUUGCGAAGGCAGUUCACUGGACCGUGAUCGACGCUGAGGAGCGAAAGCUAGGGGAGCAAACAGGAUUAGAUACCCUGGUAGUCCUAGCUGUAAACGAUGGAUACUAGAUGUAGGAACUGGAUUGACGGUUUCUGUAUCGUAGCUAACGCGUUAAGUAUCCCGCCUGGGGGAGUACGGUCGCAAGACUAAAACUCAAAGGAAUUGACGGGACCCCGCACAAGCGGCGGAGCAUGCGGCUUAAUUCGAUGAUACCCGUAGAACCUUACCUGGACUUGACAUAUAGGGAAAAGCUAAAGAAAUUUAGUGUGCGUAAGCGCCCUAUACAGGUGGUGCAUGGCUGUCGUCAGCUCGUGUCGUGAGAUGUUGGGGUUAAGUCCCGCAACGAGCGCAACCCCUGUCCUAUGUUGCCAGCAAGUAAU
rnacentral:rRNA from 1 species